GCGGCCGCAACAUUCGGGCCUUGGAACGUUGGGGCUUAAGGCUCGGCGUUCCGCCCGCGCGGCUCCGCGGCAGCCAUGGUUGUCAAGGUCAAGGUGCUGUAUUGCGGGAGCUGAGGCUAUGGGUCCAAGUAUCGACAGCUCCGGCUGGAACUCGAAAGCAGGUUCCCAGGCAAGCUGGAGAUAAGCAGUGAGGGGACUCGUGAGGCCACAGGAUGGUUUGAAGUGUCAGUCGGAGGCAAGCUGGUGCAUUCUAAAAAGAAGCCUCAGACCCUGAUCCCUGACGUUUUGGGUUGAGAUCUGACCGGCUAGGAUCCCAGCAGCAGCAACAAGCUUUGUCAGGGCUUUCAGUCCACAAAGGCGUUGUGAGACUUGCGGGGCCCACUUCUCAAACAACGCAUUGUUCCCUGUGUUCCAGCACUGCGGUCUCAUGACUGCCGUUUCACGGUGAUACAAACGGAAUGGCGAUGGCUUUGUGGAUGACAACGACAAGCUUGACAAGAUCUUUACGGCCAUCAAAGAGGCUCUGGCAUAGGGACACCGGAACGCAUUGGCGAUAAGUGUGUAACAAAGCUUGAGAAGAAUCUACCUUGUUCAGCCCAGCCGAGCGCUCGAUGACAGGAAUGGCUGAAAUAUCCCUGGAUGCGAGGCCAUUCCUUGAAGCCCUUGCGUGGCAUGCUGCUGUGAACGGUGGUAGAUGGGACUCGGGUUCUGCUCUCUGAAAUGCUUUUUAUGUAUGUGCCAGUUGCACCCGGGGUGGAAACGGCCUUCGUUAACAUGCAAUGUUUGUCUGUCUCGCUGUUUUCUAAUGAAAGUGCCUCCACCAAUCUGACGUCCAGGGCACUUCCUUUCUGUCUGACCAUGCAGUGAAAUCUUAGUGCAGACGCUUGGAUAGUAAGCUCUGUCAGGGGUCACUGGGGUGAGGGGGUCAGUGGGGUAAUUAUCUCUAUCUUACCCACCCACUGAAGUCAUGGCCCUGCUUCACAUGGGCAGCACCUGGUGUGGAAAGAGGAAGCAGCAAUGUCCUGCUGAAUAUGCAUCAGGGGGUGGAGCAGGGUAGUGUGCAGAUUAAAAACAGCACACCAUUGUUUUCCAACCGGAGCUGCAACUCUUGUCAUGGCUGAAACCCUUGGGAUUCUUCCUGGGAACUUCAGUUGUUCUGGGUCGCCAUCAGAACUAUUUCUUCUUUCUCAAACCUCAAUCUCCAUCCUGGUAAGACACUUCCUCCUCAAGGGCUUCCCAGAUGCUGUAUAAUUGAGUUGUGUGAUUUUGCUGUUGUCGCACUUAAGAGUCUCCAAUAAAACCCUUUAAACACA